rnacentral:pre_miRNA from 1 species
UCUUCAUUCCUCGUACUCUCUCACCGGCCAGAGUUGCGAGAUAGUGUUCGAAAUGAAGAGA